UACGUAGGUGGCGAGCGUUAUCCGGAAUGAUUGGGCGUAAAGGGUGCGUAGGCGGCCUGCUAAGUCUGGAGUGAAAGGUACCGGCUCAACCGGUACAGGCUCUGGAAACUGGCGGGCUAGAGAGCAGGAGAGGGCGGUGGAACUCCAUGUGUAGCGGUAAAAUGCGUAGAUAUAUGGAAGAACACCAGUGGCGAAGGCGGCCGCCUGGCCUGUUGACUGACGCUGAGGCACGAAGGCGUGGGGAGCAAAUAGG
rnacentral:rRNA from 1 species